rnacentral:rRNA from 1 species
ACGCCUGGCCCUAUCCCGAUGUUCCUAGCACUUAAAACAUCCGCCCGAGAACUACGAGCACAAACGCUUAAAACUCUAAGGACUUGGCGGUGCCCUAAACCCACCUAGAGGAGCCUGUUCUAUAAUCGAUAACCCACGAUACACCCAACCACUUCUUGCCAAAACAGCCUACAUACCGCCGUCAUAGCCCACCUCCAUGAGAGCAUAAUAGCGAGCCCAAUAGCCCACCCCCCGCUAACAAGACAGGUCAAGGUAUAGCCCACGAAGUGGAAGAAAUGGGCUACAUUUCCUAAGAUAGAAAACCACGAAAAGGGGCCUGAAACCUGCCCCUAAAAGGCGGAUUUAGCAGUAAAGAGAGACAAUCAUGCUCUCCUUAAGCCGGUCCUAGGGCACGUACACACCGCCCCGUCACCCUCAA